ncrna:Bacillus cereus biovar anthracis str. CI RAGATH-18 RNA
CCUGUGGAGUGUCACAGCAAACUGUAGUAGCAAGAAUGAUUAGCGAGGCAGGGCACGUAGAAGCAGGAA